AGGAAUCUGCCUGGUAGUGGGGGAUAACGUUUCGAAAGGGAGGCUAAUACCGCAUACGUCCUACGGGAGAAAGCAGGGGACCUUCGGGCCUUGCGCUAUCAGAUGAGCCUAGGUCGGAUUAGCUAGUUGGUGAGGUAAUGGCUCACCAAGGCUACGAUCCGUAACUGGUCUGAGAGGAUGAUCAGUCACACUGGAACUGAGACACGGUCCAGACUCCUACGGGAGGCAGCAGUGGGGAAUAUUGGACAAUGGGCGAAAGCCUGAUCCAGCCAUGCCGCGUGUGUGAAGAAGGUCUUCGGAUUGUAAAGCACUUUAAGUUGGGAGGAAGGGCAGUAAGCUAAUAUCUUGCUGUUUUGACGUUAUUUUAUAGAAUAAGCACCGGCUAACUCUGUGCCAGCAGCCGCGGUAAUACAGAGGGUGCAAGCGUUAAUCGGAAUUACUGGGCGUAAAGCGCGCGUAGGUGGUUUGUUAAGUUGGAUGUGAAAGCCCCGGGCUCAACCUGGGAACUGCAUCCAAACUGGCAAGCUAGAGUAUGGUAGA
rnacentral:rRNA from 1 species